GAUGAACGCUGGCGGCGUGCUUAACACAUGCAAGUCGAACGGUAAGGCCCUUCGGGGUACACGAGUGGCGAACGGGUGAGUAACACGUGGGUGAUCUGCCCUGCACUUCGGGAUAAGCCUGGGAAGCUGGGUCUAAUACCGGAUAGGACUCCGGACUGCAUGGUCUGGGGUGGAAAGCUUUUGCGGUGUGGGAUGGGCCCGCGGCCUAUCAGCUUGUUGGUGGGGUGAUGGCCUACCAAGGCGACGACGGGUAGCCGGCCUGAGAGGGUGACCGGCCACACUGGGACUGAGAUACGGCCCAGACUCCUACGGGAGGCAGCAGUGGGGAAUAUUGCACAAUGGGCGCAAGCCUGAUGCAGCGACGCCGCGUGAGGGAUGACGGCCUUCGGGUUGUAAACCUCUUUCAGCACAGACGAAGCGCAAGUGACGGUAUGUGCAGAAGAAGGACCGGCCAACUACGUGCCAGCCGCCGCCGUAA
rnacentral:rRNA from 1 species